rnacentral:ncRNA from 1 species
AAAAAGUUGUUGCCCACAAUGUUUAACUUUAUCAGCUGCCUAUUAUUUUUCACGGCAGAGCAUCAUAUCCUAUACACCCAUAAUGAUGCUGAUAUAUUUGCAAAAUUCUGGUCUCAGGCCAGAUUCGAACCUUUGAUGACUCUUUCUGAGUGCUCACGUGUUACUCAUUGCACCACUGAGGCUCAAUAUGUUAAUCGUAAGAAAAAGUGUUUCUAAGCUUAUGCUUAGAUGAAAUCGUCAUAAGGUAUUUCAUCUCACCCAGGAAAAUCUUUGGCUUUUUUGCCAGCUGACUGCCAAAUUGUCAAGUAUUUCAACAGACACAUGCUAAAAAGAUCUUCAGCAGUCUUCGUGGACCGCAGGGGGACGCCCUAAAGCGAAAGCAUUUGCCAAGAACGUCUUCAUUAAUCAAGAACGAAAGUCAGAGGUUCGAAGGCGAUUAGAUACCGCCCUAGUUCUGACCGUAAACUAAGUCUGUCACUGAAGAGACACCUCGGAGAUUUAUAGGUUUGAGAAGCCUGGAAAUUCUUUUUCAUUCAAUAUAUUGGUU